CUCAUCUCUACAGGUGGUUCCUUCAGGGCAGGACCAUCUCUAACAGCUGGACAGCAUUUGCUAAGAUGCCUGAAGCCAGCCUCAGGGCCCUGGCCUGGAGAGAGGGAAGGAUUCCAGAGGAGUGGUUUGUUCCGUCACCCCCAUGUCAAGUAGUUAGUCCUGCUCUCUUCGAUCAUCCAACACUUACCAGACCCCAAGGCCUUCCUGAGUCCUUGUAAAAUACAUGUUUUGUGUCAUAAAUGAUCCUAUGGUUUUGAACUUCCACAAUUACACUUUUGUCGUGUGUGUUAUCGCAUGAGCACCGUAAAUAGGAAACGAAAUUAAAGUUUUAUUUUGAAACCCGGA